rnacentral:rRNA from 1 species
AUUGAACGCUGGCGGCAUGCCUUACACAUGCAAGUCGAACGGUAACAGGGAGCUUGCUCCGCUGACGAGUGGCGAACGGGUGAGUAAUGUAUCGGAACGUACCUUUCAGUGGGGGAUAACGCAGCGAAAGUUGCGCUAAUACCGCAUAUUCUGUGAGCAGGAAAGCAGGGGAUCGCAAGACCUUGCGCUGAUUGAGCGGCCGAUAUCAGAUUAGCUAGUUGGUGAGGUAAAGGCUCACCAAGGCGACGAUCUGUAGCGGGUCUGAGAGGAUGAUCCGCCACACUGGAACUGAGACACGGUCCAGACUCCUACGGGAGGCAG